rnacentral:rRNA from 1 species
UGAACCUGCGGAAGGAUCAUUGUCGAAACCUGCC